rnacentral:rRNA from 1 species
AGUGAACGCUGGCGGCGUGCUUAACACAUGCAAGUCGAACGAGAACGGGUUAAAGCUUGCUAUAAUUGUCAGCUAAGUGGCGCACGGGUGAGUAAUGUAUAGGUAAUAUGCCUCUUACUAAGGGAUAACAAAUGGAAACGUUUGCUAAUACCUUAUACUCCUUAUUAACAGAAGUUAAUAAGGGAAAGAUUUAUUGGUAAGAGAUUAGCCUGUAUUGUAUCAGUUAGUUGGUGGGGUAAUGGCCUACCAAGACUAUGACACAUAACUGGUUUGAGAGGAUGAUCAGUCACACUGGAACUGAGACACGGUCCAGACUCCUACGGGAGGCAGCAGUGGGGAAUAUUGCACAAUGGACGAAAGUCUGAUGCAGCAACGCCGCGUGGAGGAUGACACAUUUCGGUGCGUGAACUCCUUUUAUAUGAGAAGAUAACGACGGUACUAUAUGAAUAAGCACCGGCUAACUCCGUGCCAGCCGCCGCGGUAAAAC